UAAAAUACAUCGAAGUUAGAGUAAUAAAAUGUAGAAACACUUGGUCACCUGGCGACUUCUUCCUUCUUUGUUUAAUAGAAAGUCGAAGACCAAAAAGUCCUUCAGCUGCCUUGUAAGUAGCAAGCUGAUCUACUAUCUUCUUUUGCAAAUCUUCAUCCGGGUUCAACUUGAUAACAACCUGAUGGAAUCUUGUCCACAGUUCUUU
rnacentral:lncRNA from 1 species